AAGAAGCUGGAAAGGUGGAGCAGGACUGGAUGUCCUCUCUCCAAGAGCCAUUAAUUUGACUUCAGCCACCUGUCAGCCUCUGGACAUUGUUAAUCUUUUUUUUUUCCAUUGUUAAUCUUUUCUAUGUGACAUCUCUCAUCUUUCAGUCUUGUUUUUCCAGCAAAAAAUGCGGGAAGUUGUAACAGAGCAAGACAUCACUAGCAAAUUGGAAAAGGCCUCAGGAAAAUUUCAACAGGAACUCACCCAUGUACUAUUCAGGACUAUUGAAUAAUUUUUUUCACGAGGCCCACUGGAGUCUUUUAUCUUGGUCUGCCGACUUCUAUUGAGUCUGCUCAGCAGGAAGCAAUCGUUGGGCUCCAGUGCUGUCAAGCCAGCUCUGUGCAGAAUGCUGCCUCCACAGCUGACAUCUGCUGUGUCACUCUGAAACUUCUCCUCGAGAAACUGGGCAAAUGGACACUGGGUCGAAUAAACUCUGCAGUAUUUCACCACUCAUACUACACUUUCAUGACAUCUGCUGAAGUUUUGUAUCGCUUUAAAAUGAGGGCACCAAGUGAGGCUUCCUAA
rnacentral:lncRNA from 1 species